AGUGAACGCUGGCGGUAGGCCUAACACAUGCAAGUCGAACGGCAGCACAGUAAGAGCUUGCUCUUACGGGUGGCGAGUGGCGGACGGGUGAGGAAUACAUCGGAAUCUACUUUUUCGGGGGGGAUAACGUAGGGAAACUUACGCUAAUACCGCAUACGACCUACGGGUGAAAGCAGGGGAUCUUCGGACCUUGCGCGAGUGAAUGAGCCGAUGUCGGAUUAGCUAGUUGGCGGGGUAAAGGCCCACCAAGGCGACGAUCCGUAGCUGGUCUGAGAGGAUGAUCCGCCACACUGGAACUGAGACACGGUCCAGACUCCUACAGGAGGCCGCAGUGGGGAAUAUUGGACAAUGGGCGCAAGCCUGAUCCAGCCAUACCGCGUGGGUGAAGAAGGCCUUCGGGUUGUAAAGCCCUUUUGUUGGGAAAGAAAAGCAGCAGGUUAAUACCCCGCUGUUCUGACGGUACCCAAAGAAUAAGCACCGGCUAACUUCGUG
rnacentral:rRNA from 1 species